CAAAAGUUCACAUAAUUGAUCUGCUUAUGGACCAUCUUGUCUCUUACUAAUCUCUUAUUACUUGUGUUGUGAUAUCAUUUUACACUGGAAAUCAUGACCUACAGGCAGCAGCUGAAAGAUAGAAGGAUUCUGUGUGAACCACCAGUUAUUUAGGAGCUGGUAGGUGUUGGGGCUUUUUUCCUGAAACAGUAAUGAGUGCAGUCUGAUAGCUGAAGAAGAUAAAAUCUUGGCCGUAGCAGCAAAGUUUGUACAGUUUCUCCAGCCACAAGUGCCGUGAGCUGGUGAUAGCAGGCAAAUGUGGCUGCCAUCAUAUAUCUAUCUAUAUCUUCAGCCCCACAGAGCAAGGCUCCCUGGCAGAGAUUGGUAUUGCUUCUGAUCCAUGCACUUCCAAUAUUUGCUAGGAAUGGCAGUAUCUUGCUAGAAGGAUUAUACAAUGCUGCUAAUGACUAUUAAUUUGUUAAAGGAAUUAAGCAACUAGCCCUUAGGAUGAAGAUUUCAGGAAACCAGCAAAGUGCUUUGAACUGAAGAAGCACAGGACUUGAGAUGCACACAAUAUAAAAAGAAAGCAGUUAUGAUGCUAAGAGGGACAAUGCUGCCUACACCCAGGUGAAAUUACAAGAUGUUUGGCUGGGGAAUUGCAACAUAAAGGGAUUACUCACCACAAAGGAAAAUUCCAGAAGAGUUUUUCCAGAAAAAGCAGCAAAGAAGGCAUUAAAUUACAUGCUAUUUAUUUCUUUACUGUGAGGCCCUCAUGGUACCUUUACUCCAAGAAUUAUGCACUUAUGAUAUGACUCAAUAGCAACAAAUGGAAGACAUCAUGUCUAGCAGUGUGUAUAAUAGCGAAUUCAUCAUCUUCUCCAGCAUUCUAAAUGCCAUUCUUGCAGCAAGGAAUGAGGACAGGUCAGCAUCAUGGGCACUACUAAAGAACCAUCGUUUCAGUGGUUUACUUCUUCAGCUCUUCAAGCCUCUAGUCUGCCGAGCCACACCACUCAUCUGUCCCUCCAGACAAACCAAAUGUCAUACUUACAGAGAACAAGACACAGACAACCUAAAAUGUUGUUGCUGAGGAGAAGUUUUGCAGUAAAAGAACUUUACACUUUGGACUUCUGAGCUCCAUUCUGCUACCUCAGAACUACAUUUUUCUUAAGGACGCAUCAUCUGGAAACUCUGCAUCUUUGAUCAACAUAUUGUUGCAGAAUAUUUCAUAUCACAGUAGUCAGAGGGCUUAAUUGUCUUUAAGACAUUGACACCAAUAUAACUAUUCCAGUUUAAUCAGAUUUACUUCUGAAUUAUGCCACUUAAACAUCAACAUGCCACCAGCUUUGACUUAGGAAGUAGUUUAGAUUUGAUCUAGAAAGCCUGAGUUCUUUAUAGCUUUUAAUGUAAGACCUUAAAAUUAUUUCAUUUUUCAAGUUUUUAAUUAUUUGUGUUUGUAUUUUGCUUUAUAUAUUUAGCCUUUUAUUAAUUGCUUGGAAGAUGAAAAACCUGUUAGUAUAGCUAGCAAUGGAGGUGGCAAAAAUGUGGGACAUGGUCACUUGUUAACUACAAAGCAAAAGUUAGAAAAUAAUUGUAAGAGUAGGUCAGACCAAUAGAAGUAUAAACACAAUAUCCAUUUCCAAGAUGAAUCUCUCUCUGCUUCUAAACUUAAUUUCCCAGCAUUAUGAUGUAACUAAAUACAUAAUUUAUGUGUGAUAAUAAAAAGGAAAACUUCCCUUAACUGAAGGCUGUU
rnacentral:lncRNA from 1 species